rnacentral:tRNA from 1 species
GCAGUGGUGGUUCAUGGUAGAAUUCUCACCUUCAAUGUGGGAGACCUGGGUUUGAUUCCCAGCCAACGCA